CCCGCACAAGCGGUGGAGCAUGUGGUUUAAUUCGAUGCAACGCGAAGAACCUUACCUACUCUUGACAUCCAGAGAACUUUCCAGAGAUGGAUUGGUGCCUUCGGGAACUCUGAGACAGGUGCUGCAUGGCUGUCGUCAGCUCGUGUUGUGAAAUGUUGGGUUAAGUCCCGCAACGAGCGCAACCCUUAUCCUUUGUUGCCAGCGGUCCGGCCGGGAACUCAAAGGAGACUGCCAGUGAUAAACUGGAGGAAGGUGGGGAUGACGUCAAGUCAUCAUGGCCCUUACGAGUAGGGCUACACACGUGCUACAAUGGCGCAUACAAAGAGAAGCGACCUCGCGAGAGCAAGCGGACCUCAUAAAGUGCGUCGUAGUCCGGAUUGGAGUCUGCAACUCGACUCCAUGAAGUCGGAAUCGCUAGUAAUCGUAGAUCAGAAUGCUACGGUGAAUACGUUCCCGGGCCUUGUACACACCGCCCGUCACACCAUGGGAGUGGGUUGCAAAAGAAGUAGGUAGCUUAACCUUCGGGAGGGCGC
rnacentral:rRNA from 1 species